rnacentral:rRNA from 1 species
GGGUGUGAUCAUACCAGCACUAAUGCACCGGAUCCCAUCAGAACUCCGCAGUUAAGCGUGCUUGGGCUAGAAUGGUUCUAAGACGGGCUUGUCUUAUGACUUUCACAGACACAGGCU